rnacentral:rRNA from 1 species
CCUACGGGUGGCAGCAGUAGGGAAUAUUGCUCAAUGGGGGAAACCCUGACGCAGCAACGCCGCGUGGAGGAUGAAGGCUUUCGGAUUGUAAACUCCUUUUGUUAGAGAAGAUAAUGACGGUAUAUAACGAAUAUGCACCGGCUAAAUCCGUGCCAGCAGCCGCGGUAAUACGGAGGGUGCAAGCGUUACUCGGAAUCACUGGGCGUAAAGAGCGCGUAGGCGGGAUAGCAAGUCAGAUGUGAAAUCCUAUGGCUUAACCGUAGAACUGCAUUUGAAACUGUAGUUCUCGAGUGUGGAAGAGGUAGGUGGAAUUCUUGGUGUAGGGGGAAAAU